AUGCUCCAGCUCCAGCUCCAGCCCCCUCGCUUCCUGCCGCUCCCUCGCUCCCGCCUCCCCGGCCGCCGCCGCCGCCGCGCGACCGCGCCCGUCCUCGCCGUCCGCUCCCAGUGGAAGCUCCCCGAUGUCGACACCGAUGCGGUGCAGGAGCGGGUGCGUUCGUGGUUCUCCCGGGCGCGGGGCGCGGUGGUGGACGUCACGCAGGCGGCGCGGGAGCGGGGGAAGCGCAAGGAGGAGGCCGAUGGGAGGAAGAAGCAGCGGAAGGAGGAGGUGGAGGAGGAGCCGCUCGUCGCGGUGCCGGAGAUCACCCUGGAGCGGCGGGUCGGCCGCGGCUGGCUCUCCGUGGACGCCAUUGUCGCCAUCGAGCAGUUUGCUAGGUUGAAUGGGUUGACUGGGAGGCAGGUGCAGAGGAUCUUCAAAGCGCUUGCUCAUGAACAUGUCCACAAUGAUGCUCGAAGUCUAGUUGAAUAUUGCUGCUUCCGGUACUUGUCAAGAGAUAACUCCGAUUUUCAUCCAAGUCUGAGGGAGCUUGCAUUUCAAAGGCUUAUCUUUGUGACUAUGCUUGCAUGGAAUGAUCCAUAUGAUGAAGACAAUGAUCCACACUCUUCACUAGAUAACUACUCUAUACUGGGAAGACUUGUUGAAGAAGAUGCCUUUGUCCGAAUUGCUCCUGCUGUGGCAGGUGUUGCUGAUGCUUCAACAGCUCAUCAUCUCUUUAGGGCCCUUGUUGGCGCUGAAAAGGGACUGUCAUUGGAUCUUUGGACAACAUACCUUGGUGAACUUUUGAAGGUUCAUCAUGGGAGGCAAACACAUAAGAUUGGAGAUAAUUUUCUGUCUGAUGAGCAAGUUCUGUGCAUAGGCUCUAGUAGAAAGAGGCCUGUUCUAAAAUGGGAGCAGAAUACUGCAUGGCCCGGACACUUAACCUUGACCAACAAGGCACUCUAUUUUGAGGCCAUUGGACUGGCAGGUAUGAAGAAACCAUUGAGGCUUGACCUUACAGAUCAUAAUUCAAAGAUUGAAAAAGCAAAGGUUGGACCAUUUGGGUCCAGGUUAUUUGACUCUGCUGUAUCUGUUUCAUCUGGUUCAGUGUCAAAUGAGUGGACAUUAGAGUUUGUUGAUUUUGGUGGAGAGAUGAGACGAGAUGUAUGGCUUGCGUUCAUCAAUGAAAUUAUUUCUGUUUAUAAGUUCAUUCGUGAAUAUGGACCAAGCGAUGAUGAUCCAACCAUUCAUCAUGUAUAUGGUGCCCGCAGAGGCAAGAAAAGAGCUGUUAGUAGUGCAACAAACAGUAUUGCAAGGCUUCAGUCUCUGCAAUUCAUACGUAGAUUACACGAGGACCCAGCUAAGUUAGUACAGUUCUCCUACCUAUCAGGUGCACCUUUUGGUGAUGUUGUUCUUCAGACCCUAGCAGUGAGGUUCUGGGGUGGGUCACUGAUUACAAACUCGAAAGUGGCAAAUGAAAGAUCACUUCAAAGGCAUAAACAUUCAGAAGGCUCAUCUAGUGGUCGCUCACAGGUUUUCGACAUAGACGGUAGUGUGUACUUAGGCAAGUGGAUGACGUCUCCAAGCUGGGCAUCAAGCCAUUCAGUCAGUUUUUGGAGAGGCUCUUCAGUCAAGCAUGGUGUAAUAUUAAGUAAAUCCUUAGUUGUAGCUGAUAAAAAUCUUGUAGAGAAGGCGAUGGUUAUCUGUAAAGAAAAGAGCAAAGUAGUUGACAAGACACAUGCUACGAUUGUUGCUGCUACGGUUGAAGGUAUUCCAAGCAAUAUUGACCUCUUCAAGGAACUUGUACUUCCCUUCGCAAUAAUGGCUCAAAAAUUCAAGAAACUUCAACGCUGGGAGAAUCCCCGUUCAACCAUUUGUUUUCUACUGUUAGUUUAUACCGUUAUUUUCAGGAACAUGCUCUUUUAUAUAUUUCCGUUUACCUUGAUGGCGAUGGCCCUUUCCAUGCUUGCCCUGAAAGGGCUGAGAGAACAAGGCCGGCUGGGUAGAUCUUUUGGCAAAGUGACAAUAAGGGAUCAACCACCUUCCAACACAAUCCAGAAGAUCGUAGCUCUCAAAGAGGCAAUGGCCUCGGUCGAAAAUUCUCUGCAGCACCUCAAUGUCUCUCUUCUGAAGAUGCGCACAAUCUUUUUAGCAGGCCAACCUGAGGUUACAACUCAGGUUGCUCUCAUUCUUCUAGCAUCCUCUGCUGUUCUUCUCGUGGUUCCUUUCAGAUACAUUCUUGCCGUCUCUACCCUUGAUCUCUUCACAAGGGAGCUAGAGUUCCGGAGAGAAAUGGUGGCGGCGUUCAUAAGCUUUGUGAAGGAACGGUGGGAGUCAAUACACGCUGCCCCUGUGAUCGUGCUGCCAUACGAGGGCGACGAUAACAGCAACAAGACGCUCCCUGCAAAAGCUUCCAGGCAGACUGAAUCGAAAGACGUGCAAGACCAACGGAGUGACAUCUAUGUGAAUGGAAUCCGCCCUUCAUGA
rnacentral:rRNA from 1 species